rnacentral:rRNA from 1 species
UACGGGGGGGGCAAGCGUUGUUCGGAAUUACUGGGCGUAAAGGGCUCGUAGGUGGCCAACUAAGUCAGACGUGAAAUCCCCAGGCUUAACCUGGGAACUGCGUCUGAUACUGGAUGGCUUGAAUUCGGGAGAGGGAUGCAGAAUUCCAGGUGUAGCGGUGAAAUGCGUAGAUAUCUGGAGGAAUACCGGUGGCGAAGGCGGGUCUCUGGGCCGAUACUGACGCUGAGGAGCGAAAGCGUGGGGAGCAAACAGG